rfam:Lasius niger Lnig_2.1_8505, whole genome shotgun sequence.
ACAUCGGCCCUUUUCAGGGCCAUCAAAAAUCAACGAGAACAUUUCG